rnacentral:rRNA from 1 species
GCAAGUCGAGCGGUAGCACAGAGAGCUUGCUCUCGGGUGACGAGCGGCGGACGGGUGAGUAAUGUCUGGGAAACUGCCUGAUGGAGGGGGAUAACUACUGGAAACGGUAGCUAAUACCGCAUAACGUCGCAAGACCAAAGUGGGGGACCUUCGGGCCUCAUGCCAUCAGAUGUGCCCAGAUGGGAUUAGCUGGUAGGUGGGGUAACGGCUCACCUAGGCGACGAUCCCUAGCUGGUCUGAGAGGAUGACCAGCCACACUGGAACUGAGACACGGUCCAGACUCCUACGGGAGGCAGCAGUGGGGAAUAUUGCACAAUGGGCGCAAGCCUGAUGCAGCCAUGCCGCGUGUGUGAAGAAGGCCUUCGGGUUGUAAAGCACUUUCAGCGGGGAGGAAGGCGGUGAGGUUAAUAACCUCAUCGAUUGACGUUACCCGCAGAAGAAGCACCGGCUAACUCCGUGCCAGCAGCCGCGGUAAUACGGAGGGUGCAAGCGUUAAUCGGAAUUACUGGGCGUAAAGCGCACGCAGGCGGUCUGUCAAGUCGGAUGUGAAAUCCCCGGGCUCAACCUGGGAACUGCAUUCGAAACUGGCAGGCUAGAGUCUUGUAGAGGGGGGUAGAAUUCCAGGUGUAGCGGUGAAAUGCGUAGAGAUCUGGAGGAAUACCGGUGGCGAAGGCGGCCCCCUGGACAAAGACUGACGCUCAGGUGCGAAAGCGUGGGGAGCAAACAGGAUUAGAUACCCUGGUAGUCCACGCUGUAAACGAUGUCGAUUUGGAGGUUGUGCCCUUGAGGCGUGGCUUCCGGAGCUAACGCGUUAAAUCGACCGCCUGGGGAGUACGGCCGCAAGGUUAAAACUCAAAUGAAUUGACGGGGGCCCGCACAAGCGGUGGAGCAUGUGGUUUAAUUCGAUGCAACGCGAAGAACCUUACCUGGUCUUGACAUCCACAGAACUUUCCAGAGAUGGAUUGGUGCCUUCGGGAACUGUGAGACAGGUGCUGCAUGGCUGUCGUCAGCUCGUGUUGUGAAAUGUUGGGUUAAGUCCCGCAACGAGCGCAACCCUUAUCCUUUGUUGCCAGCGGUCCGGCCGGGAACUCAAAGGAGACUGCCAGUGAUAAACUGGAGGAAGGUGGGGAUGACGUCAAGUCAUCAUGGCCCUUACGACCAGGGCUACACACGUGCUACAAUGGCAUAUACAAAGAGAAGCGACCUCGCGAGAGCAAGCGGACCUCAUAAAGUAUGUCGUAGUCCGGAUUGGAGUCUGCAACUCGACUCCAUGAAGUCGGAAUCGCUAGUAAUCGUAGAUCAGAAUGCUACGGUGAAUACGUUCCCGGGCCUUGUACACACCGCCCGUCACACCAUGGGAGUGGGUUGCAAAAGAAGUAGGUAGCUUAACCUUCGGGAGGGCGCUUACCACUUUG